rnacentral:lncRNA from 1 species
CUUCACCAGCUCCGCGGAAACCAUAGCAACGGGCAGCCGGAAGAUGCGGCCAUUCCUCUCCCUUUUGUCCAUUGCAUUUCAGCAGCGCCCGCGCACAUGGACGCUCCAAUUACAGGUACUUGGGAGGGGACGCCUUUGUCCGCGGCCCAUUCACGGCGGAGCCGGCUCCGGGCGGAGAAGCUGUCGGGCGCUGUCGCACAAAGCGAUUUUGUGCCUCCUCCCGGCGCCUUCCUCCACUCCCUGCCGCGUUCAAGGACAAACAAGGACCUCCAAAUUCGUGUUCAAACGCCCCGCGUGGUAGGCAGUGUGGGGGGGUCAGAGGAGAGUCUGGAAGGAACCCAAAGGGUGAGCAGACCUAGCCAGUGAAGAACGCACAGACAUACUGACCCAGCAGCCCCCAGAAGAGAAGCCAGGGACCAGAAGCGCAGGGCACGGGAAUGUGUCAUGAUUGGCGCACAGGCUGUGGCCCCACCGCUGCCUGCCUUACUCCCCUCUGCGCGCUGACCUUCCACUCCUCCUGCACCGAGGUCCUUCUCAAACCAGAGGCUUCACACCUGUUCUUCCCUCUGGCUCAGAUUUCCCAUCCCUCUUUGCACACUUAACUGCUACCCGACCCUCAGUCUCAGCUCCAGCGUGCCUUCCUGGAAGAAGCUUCCCUGCCCACCCCUCCAUUCCCUUUCCCAGGUUCCCACAGCCCCCUAAGCUGUGCUUUCCACGUCUACAAUCAUAUAUAUUUCUUAAAUGCCGUAUAAGUUUCCAGCGGCUCCUGUAACAGAUGACCACAAACUGGAUGGCUUAAAACAACACGUAUGCAUUGUCUCCCAGCUCUAGAGGCUAGAAAUUGGCAGUCAGGAUGUGUGUAAGGCCACGCUCCCUCUGAAGACUCCAGGGGAGGAUCUUUCCUUGCCUCCUCCAGCUUCUGGUGGCUGCCAGCAUCCUUGGCAUUCCUUGGCCUGUGGACACAUCACUCUCAUCUCUGCCCAUGGUCACAACCCCAAGCUCCAGAAUACAGACCAGCAGGCGAGGAGACAAGGAGGCAAGCAGAUGGAUGGUGGAACAAAGUGGCAGAGAAAGAGAGAAGAGGAGAGAUGUCUGGACGCCAAGAGGAGUCUGGCUGGGGCCAGUCAGAGAAGAGUCCAGCGGCUGGGCAGCCCGACUCCAGGGGAAGAUCACCUUCCCACUCCAUCCCCCUUCACGCUCCCCAUCCAUCUCACUAAGAGCCAUCUCUACCACUCAAUAAAACCUUGCAUUCAUCCUUCAAA